UAGAUUAUUGCACAUCAGUGUGAGAGG
rnacentral:piRNA from 1 species